rnacentral:lncRNA from 1 species
GGUUGGUCCUAGCAACAGCAUCUAUACACACUUGCCAACAAGGUGUUGUGCAAGCGGGGAUUAGUUUACUUCCCUCAGUCUCCCUAAUAGUAGUAUCUGGUUCUUUCAGUUCUAUUAAGAUAAGGUUGACUCUUUGGUUAUCUAAUGUGGGGUAACUGAUUUCUUGACAUAACCAUUUUGUUAAUUCUUUUUUAUCCACAUCCCAUAUAUUAGGGUUCAAUUCCUUCUGCAUGUCCCUAUAAGGUUUAUCAUUUGGCUCAUAAUAAAUGCAGAGAAAGAGAUCAAUGCCCUUCAGACUGGCAAUGGUUUGCUCAAUGGCCACCUUAUGUUCUUGUAGGGCACCCAUAAGUUGGGUUUCCUGGUCACAGGUCAAAUCCGAUGCAAUGAUUAUCGGAAUGGUGUAAUUGGGUCCUAAAAAUAUAUACCUAAAUGUGACAGGAAGUGGCUUCAAUUCUAAAUUAGAUUCUCCUCCAAUUGAUGGUUCAUAAUCACUAUCUUGAAUCAAGUUCACAUCAAUGGGUUGGCCCAAUUCAUCUUCUAGAUCAAAAAUCAGUUGCUCAGAUCGUAGGGUGUUAACUUUCUUUAUUUGGUUGACCUGAUUUUCUUGUGGGGCACUAGGACCAUUUUGGGCUAUAGGGGUAUCUUCAGUUCUACCUUUUUCUUCCUCAUCGAUGGAAGUAACUAACUACCCUACUUGCAUUUCCAAACGGGCAAUGGCUUGGGUGUUUGAAUUUAAAUAUUGGCCUAUGGUCUGCAUAAAGUCGGUAUGUGACUUCAUCAGGACUUCUAAACUUUUCUCUAGUGAAUUAAGCCUUUGGUCAUCUUCAAACUCCCUCAUUAAUACAUAUGCAUCCUCAUUUCUAGUGAAUUGAGGAAGCAUGUUGAAGGUUUGGGAUUUGAUCUCAAAAUAAUUAUAAGCCAUG